AAUGAACGUUGGCGGCGUGGAUUAGGCAUGCAAGUCGAACGAAUCCCAUCUGGGUAACUGGGUGGGGGAAGUGGCGAAAGGGGCAGUAAGGCAUGGGUAACUUGCCCCGGAGUUCGGGAUAGCCUUCCUAACGGAUGGGUAAUACCGAAUGCCGUAUCGAGGGGGCAUCCUCUGGAUACGAAAGUUCCGACGCUCCGGGAGAGGUCCAUGUGGUAUUAGCUAGUUGGUGAGGUAACGGCUCACCAAGGCCAAGAUGCCUAGCAGGUGUGAGAGCACGACCUGCGUCACUGGCACUGGGACACUGGCCAGACUCCUACGGGAGGCUGCAGUCGAGGAUCUUCGGCAAUGGGCGAAAGCCUGACCGAGCGACGCCGCGUGUGCGAUGAAGGCCUU
rnacentral:rRNA from 1 species